UUCUCCAUAAAAGGUAACGUUCUCUCAGCUCGCGACGUGAUUGGUCCAGGUGAGCAGAUUUCUCAGCUCGCGUCCUGAUUGGUUGGAGGGAGUGUCAGUCAUUUCUCCAAUCAGAAACAAGCUGGAGGAUUUCUGAUUGAACGUCACCUGAGAUGGAAACUUCUGAUUGGCCUGAAGCUGCAGAAGCAAAACCAAACUGAAAGAGUUCAAAUCAGAGAAACUUCUAUAAAAUUAUAGAAGUUUAAAUUAAAACAGAUUUAUGAUGACAUCAGCAGAUGUUUGGAUCAGAUAAUUAUUGAUUACCAAUAACUGAAGCAUCAAACUGCAGAGAAUCAGAACGAAAACAUGAAGCAGCAGAAACAGAAAUAAAAUGUUUCCUUGUUGAGUUUAGGAAGUUUCAGACCAACUUUAACCUUUUAGCAACAUUUAGAGAAGUUUGCUGAGGUUCUGCAGGAACCGGGUCCGGUGGUUCUGGAACUCUGCAGGUCUCUGCGUGUCGGAUGAAUCCUGAGGUGAGGCUCCGCCCCCUCAGCAUCAGACUGAAGCUGCUUCCAUGUAUGGACUAGACCAAACCUGCAGCAGGGAGGAACUUCAGCUCCCUCAGGCUGAUGAAACGGAUCCUGAGGUUCUGCUGAGGAUGUAGCCGUCACGCCGCCGAGCUUCAGCCGCCGAUGAACAUCUCUGAGCCGCCGCUCUGAGCCGCUCGCCACACGUUGCCAACAUUCCCAGCCGGUCUGGACCUGCAGGGAGGGAGUGUCUGCCUCCUGCUGGAUCUGAUUUACAUGCAGCAACACUCAGACCAAAAAAGGUGAGAAGGCAGCAGCAGCUGAGCUUCCUGGGAAUCCUCCAGCAGCAGCAAACAGCGUUUCCUCAACAUCUACAAGCUGAGACAGGAAGGAGAUAAAAUCGGUUCUGUUCUGCUGAGGAAUGCUGAGAUGUUUCUGAUCCACAGAUUAAACAGGUUUCAUCUC